rnacentral:lncRNA from 1 species
CACAGUCAAAGCCUUAAAUGUCAGGCGUCACGCGUCAGGGACGACAGACAGGAUUGCUCACCAGAGGGAGAAUUGCGAUGUUUUUCGAUUCUCUUGAAAAAACUAAAAAAGACAUGGCCUUUAAAUUGUUCUUAUUUUUCAACGCGUUAAUUGUUAUGGGACAUCUAAAAUAGACUCUGAAUGAACCUGUGCCACCAUCUCCACAUGAAUGAGUUCAUUUGCUGCACAACCAACCAACCAACCACACGCAGCAAACACCACAAUAAUUUGCAACCUUUGGGACAAAAUAACCCAGAAGUUCUAAACCCUUAAUUGACCCGGCACUACCCCAUUUUUUAAAUAACUACAAUAUUUAGGAAAAUUGUUCAAAGACAUAAAUUCGUUGGCAAACAAACCAUGAACUUUACUGAUACCUAUGCCCUAUUUAAUUUAGAAUUGCUCCCAAGUCUUCCACCAUAGCGAUCCGAUGCUCUACCAUUGAGCUACGAAUGACACCUGUAACACUUCUACUUCUUCGACACAUUAACAUAACUGCACGAGUUAAAUAGUCCCUCAGACGACAAUGGAAGGAUAUAGGAAGGCAAUGCUAGAAUGGUAUGGCAACCGACGCCUAAUUCGGUGGUUAGAUUCACAGUUAUGUUCCCCAGGAUCUUCCAAACAUCCUAGGAAGUAUACCAUUCAAGUGCACCAACAAUGACAAUACCAACUUUUGCCAAGUGAGUAAGUUGUGGGAUGAACAUGUUUUAAGAAUGGGUAAUAUAAGAGACAAACAUUUCUUUAAACAAAUGGACUUUUUGUCGAUUACAUUGCGCACUGCAUUUUACUUUAGUUGAUUUGAGUUGCAAGGUUUAUUUAUAUCUAAUCUAACAAAAAUGUUUCCCUCCCAAGUGACCACGUUCUGUCUGAAUGGCCACACAAUGCUGGGUAUGUAUUGAUAUGAUCGGUGGAUUGGAUUAAGAGUUGAGGCGUAUGGUAGAUGACAACAAGAAUUCGCCCUCGCUCACACAUACAGGGCUCACGAAAAUGAGAAAUAAAAUGUUGCUUCAAAGAAUCGGAAAAGAA